UACGAAGGGGGCUAGCGUUGCUCGGAAUCACUGGGCGUAAAGCGCACGUAGGCGGCUUUCUAAGUCAGGGGUGAAAUCCUGGAGCUCAACUCCAGAACUGCCUUUGAUACUGGAAAGCUUGAGUCCGGGAGAGGUGAGUGGAACUGCGAGUGUAGAGGUGAAAUUCGUAGAUAUUCGCAAGAACACCAGUGGCGAAGGCGGCUCACUGGCCCGGUACUGACGCUGAGGUGCGAAAGCGUGGGGAGCAAACAGG
rnacentral:rRNA from 1 species